AACGCACGAGACCUGCGGACCUGCGGAGGGAUCAUUACCGAGUUAGGGUUCCUCUCACGGGCCCGACCUCCCAACCCUGUGUCUAUCACACCUUGUCGUUGCUUCGGCGGACCGGUUUGACUCCGGUCGCGACCGCCGGGGGUGCUUCACCCCGGGAGAGCGUCCGCCGAUGGCCCAAUCACAAAACUUCUUUGUACCAAAACCGGUCGUCUAAAUCAAACUUGAUCAUAAUCAAAAAAC
rnacentral:misc_RNA from 1 species